GUGGGGAAUAUUGGACAAUGGGCGCAAGCCUGAUCCAGCCAUGCCGCGUGAGUGAUGAAGGUCUUAGGAUUGUAAAGCUCUUUCACCGAUGAAGAUAAUGACGGUAGUCGGAGAAGAAGCCCCGGCUAACUUAGUGCCAGCAGCCGCGGUAAUACGAAGGGGGCUAGCGAUGUUCGGAAUUACUGGGCGUAAAGCGCAUGUAGGCGGAUCGUUAAGUCGGGGGUGAAAUCCUGGAGCUCAACUCCAGAACUGCCUUCGAUACUGGCGAGCUUGAGUACGGAAGAGGUGAGUGGAACUCCUAGUGUAGAGGUGGAAUUCGUAGAUAUUAGGAAGAACACCAGUGGCGAAGGCGGCUCACUGGUCCGGUACUGACGCUGAGGUGCGAAAGCGUGGGGAGCAAACAGGAUUAGAAACCCCGGUAGUCC
rnacentral:rRNA from 1 species